UACGUAGGUGGCAAGCGUUGUCCGGAUUUACUGGGCGUAAAGAGCGCGCAGGCGGUCGUUCAAGUCGCGUGUGAAAGCCCCCGGCUCAACUGGGGAGGGUCACGCGAUACUGAUCGACUCGAAGGCAGGAGAGGGAAGUGGAAUUCCCGGUGUAGUGGUGAAAUGUGUAGAUAUCGGGAGGAACACCAGUGGCGAAGGCGACUUCCUGGCCUGUUCUUGACGCUGAGGCGCGAAAGCUAGGGGAGCAAACGGG
rnacentral:rRNA from 1 species